GGAUGUGAGGGCGAUCUGGCCGUGACAUCUGUCACCCCAUUGAUCGCCAGGGUUGAUUCGGCUGAUCUGGCUGGCCAGGCGGGUGUCCCCUUCCUCCCUCACUGCUCCCUGUGUGUCCCUCCCGAAGCUGCACGCUCGGUGGAAGAGGGCGACCACCCCCGAUAGGGGAGGACCGUUUCCUUGGUCAAGGGUAUAGGAGUAGCUGCACUCCCCUGCUAUAAAUAGAGGUUUGGGUACUGGCUUAUUUUUCCUCAAGGGACAGCUUUCAUUUGUAUCUGUGCCUAAAGAUGUGGAGUUAUCAUAAAAUAGUUUAUAUUUUAAUAUAAUUUAUAUAUUUUAUAAAAUAUUAAAUAUU
rnacentral:snRNA from 1 species